rnacentral:rRNA from 1 species
UACGUAGGGUGCAAGCGUUGUCCGGAAUUAUUGGGCGUAAAGAGCUCGUAGGCGGUCUGUCGCGUCGGCUGUGAAAACCCGGGGCUUCAACCCCGGGCCUGCAGUCGAUACGGGCAGACUAGAGUGUGGUAGGGGAGACUGGAAUUCCUGGUGUAGCGGUGAAAUGCGCAGAUAUCAGGAGGAACACCGGUGGCGAAGGCGGGUCUCUGGGCCAUAACUGACGCUGAGGAGCGAAAGCGUGGGGAGCGAACAGG